CAGGAGGCUGAAGCACGAGAAUCGCUUGAACCCAGGAGGCAGAGGUUGCAGUAAGCCAAGACUGCACCACUGCUCUCCAGCCUGGGUGACAGAGUGAGACUCCGUCUCAAAAAAAGAAAAAAAAAAUUUUUUUUUUUGAAUAGGGAAUACUUUCGUGUGUUUCAGACUAAAAAAUUGAUUUUAUAUGUAUUUAUAAUUACACACAUAUACGUAUGCAGUAAAGUUUCAUUUUUACUUGUCCUUCAGCCACCAUUUCCUUUCCUCUUACACACUAAUAUUUUCAGUUUCUUAUUUAUCCUUCCAGUUAUUUUAUGGACAUACCAGUAAAUACACACAUAUAUUAAUAUAUCCAGUAUUUUCCCCAUCUCUUUUUUGCACAACCCCUUAAAUAUACUUAAAAUAAAACAGAACAACAAAUUUUUCGUAAACAAAAUUUAAUACAACCAUAUAGUCAAGUAAUAAUGGUUAAAAGACAUUUUAUUAGAUACAACUUUUAAAAAAUUAAACUAUGCAAGAAGUAUAUUUAAACAAAACAUGUAAGUAAGUAUUCACGUGCUACAACUUAACUAAGAACAAUUAAAUACAAAGCAUUCUUUCCACUAUGAAGACUCUGGAGCCUCUAAUUGAAAGCAAAUGACCUUAGGUCUAUACUAGUUGUAAAGCAGAUUAUACUUUUGUUCAACUCUAAAUUUGUAUUGUCUUAGAGCUCCAACAACUCUCAAUAAAAAUUUAAAUAAAGAAACCUUGGGGGAGGGGUGAUAGGGAAGGGGAGAGUAAGUGCUUUUUCAAAAAGGUAAAUGAAAAAGCCUGAAGAGGGAAAAAAUUGUACAUAAGUAUGGAACAAAAAUAAGUAUACUUUUUUGACAUUCGAUGUAGAUACUGCAAAUGAAUUUACACGGGUUUAAUCAAUGUAAGAUAGAUAUUUGUCUGAAUAUUUUAAAAAGCACCUAGGUAUCAAAAAAUAAAAACAAAAAAUAUAAUGAAACUCCAAACAUCCAACAAUCUCCCUUAACAUUCUCAUUCUGCCAAGCAACCACACGUUGGUGCUUAUUACACAAUUUAAGAAGGGGAAGUUUAUUUACUCUAUAGGAAACAAAUAUGAACCUUAUCUAAGGUAAGCUUUAUUAUAGUUUGAAAGAUUGAUAUU
rnacentral:lncRNA from 1 species